rnacentral:rRNA from 1 species
AUUGAACGCUGGCGGCAGGCCUAACACAUGCAAGUCGAACGAGCGGAGGACGGGUGAGUAAUGUAUGGGGACUGCCCGAUAGAGGGGGAUAACUACUGGAAAAGGUGGCUAAUACCGCAUACUAUAGGAGCACCCAUAUGGGAUUAGCUAGUAGGUGGGGUAAAGGCUCACCUAGGCGACGAUCUCUAGCUGGGCUGAGAGGAAGAACAGCCACACUGGGACUGAGACACGGCCCAGACUCCUACGGAGGCAGAAGUGGGGAAGAUUGGCCAAUGGGCGAAAGCCUGAUGCAGCCAUGCCGCGUGUAUGAAGAAGGCCUUAGGGUUGUAAAGUACUUGCAGCGGGGAGGCGGUAUCUGCAGAAGAAGCACCGGCUAACUCCGUGCCAGCAGCCGCGGUAAUAC